rnacentral:tRNA from 2 species
GGUCCAGUUGAUCACCGGCAGGUAGAUCUGGCCGAUUUCCGCCGCCGAGGUGUAGCGGAUGCGCAUGCGCGGCACGAAGCCGAGCUGGAUCGCC